ACACGUCACCCCAAUAUGGAUUCCAGGAUCAGUGAUUCAGCUGAUAUAAAAACCCCAUGCAUCGAUGGAUCGCUCUCUUAUUCGUGUAGCAAAAUAGCCAGAUUAGUGCCCUGCCCACGUGAACGUUUGAAAAAUCUACCCGGUAUUGAAGCUACUGUGUUGCAGCCCGUUAGUGAAGCCGUUAGUGGACCGUUCGUUCCACGUGUUAGUGAGAGUCGACCAAAGUUAGUGGGUGCAUCUACCGAAGAGAAGGCGUCAACCAGAGCGUCCCGACGGCCACCAGCCAGAGUGCGUCGGAGCCUAGAGACGGCAGAAAUUGCGCCAACCCCAGCCUGCGUCACAUCAUUAGCGGCAGCGGAACAUCGUGGUUACCCGAGCAGAAAAGGUGUGUCCAUUCCAAAAUUUCCUUCACUCUUUCCCAUGUAUAUACCCCUUUGAAUUCAAAAUUAAUUAAAUUAAAGAGCUUUUGUUGAAUUAGAA